CCUGUCGCUUGACCAAAGGCAGAAUGCACCAAAGCGUAAAACAAUCUGAUUGGGUGAGUUGGUCGCACCACCAAAGAGAGAACGAAAGCCGACACGCCUGCUGACCCUGUGCAUUGGGUGGCAGGUAUGGCGGUUAGUAGCGUUCGCCCACGACACAGGC
rnacentral:ncRNA from 1 species